rnacentral:rRNA from 1 species
CCCUUGAAUCAGGGCGGGGGACAUUGUUAGGUGGGCAGUUUGACUGGGGCGGUCGCCUCCAAAAGAGUAACGGAGGCGCUCAAAGGUUCGCUCAGCAUGGAUGGAAACCAUGCUAUUGAGUGUAAACGCAAAAGCGAGCCUAACUGCGAGACUGACGGGUCGAGCAGUAACGAAAGUUGGAGUUAGUGAUCCGGUGGUAUGUGAGUGGAAAUGCCAUCGCUCAACGGAUAAAAGCUACCCUGGGGAUAACAGGCUGAUCUCCCCCAAGAGUCCACAUCGACGGGGAGGUUUGGCACCUCGAUGUCGGCUCAUCGCAUCCUGGGGCUGAAUUCGGUCCCAAGGGUUUGGCUGUUCGCCAAUUAAAGCGGUACGCGAGCUGGGUUCAGAACGUCGUGAGACAGUUCGGUCCCUAUCUGUCGUGGGCGCAGGAUAUUUGAUGGGAGCUGUUCCUAGUACGAGAGGACCGGAGCGGACGUACCUCUGGCGCACCAGUUGUUCUGCCAAGGGCAUAGCUGGGCAACUAUGUACGGAUCGGAUAAACGCUGAAAGCAUCUAAGCGUGAAGCCGACCCAAAGAUAAGAUAUCCCAUUGUUUCAAACAAGUAAGACCCCUUGAAGACUACAAGGUUGAUAGGCACGAUGUGUAAGUGGAGUGAUCCAUUCAGCAAGCGUGUACUAAUAGGUCGAGGGCUUGACCAC